CUACGGGGGGCAGCAGUGGGGAAUAUUGCACAAUGGAGGAAACUCUGAUGCAGCAACGCCGCGUGGAGGAUGACGCAUUUCGGUGUGUAAACUCCUUUUAUAAGGGAAGAUAAUGACGGUACCUUAUGAAUAAGCACCGGCUAACUCCGUGCCAGCAGCCGCGGUAAUACGGAGGGUGCAAGCGUUACUCGGAAUCACUGGGCGUAAAGGAUGCGUAGGCUGGAGAUCAAGUCGAGAGUGAAAUCCAACGGCUCAACCGUUGAACUGCUCUCGAAACUGGUCACCUAGAAUAUGGGAGAGGUAGAUGGAAUUGGUGGUGUAGGGGUAAAAUCCGUAGAUAUCACCAGGAAUACCGAUUGCGAAGGCGAUCUACUGGAACAUUAUUGACGCUGAGGCAUGAAAGCGUGGGGAGCAAACAGGAUUAGAUACCCCCGUAGUC
rnacentral:rRNA from 1 species